UUCGAUCAUGGCUCAGAUUGAACGCUGGCGGGAUGUCUUUACACAUGCAAGUCAGGCGGCAGCACGGACUUCGGUCUGGUGGCGAGUGGCGAACGGGUGAGUAAUGUAUCGGAACGUGCCUAGUAGCGGGGGAUAACUACGCGAAGCGCUAGCUAAUACUGCAUACGCCCUUCGGGGGAAAGCGGGGGACCUUCGGGCCUCGCACUAUUAGAAGCGGCCGAUAUCGGAUUAGCUAGUUGGUGGGUAACGGCUCACCAAGGCGACGUCCGUAGCUGGUUUUGAGAGGACGACCAGCCACAUAAGGACUGAGACACGGCCCAGACUCCUACGGGAGGCAGCAGUGGGAAUUUUGGACAAUGGGGAAACCCUGAUCCAGCCAUCCCGCGUGUGCGAUGAAGGCCUUCGGGUUGUAAAAGCACUUUUGGCAGGAAAGAAACGGCACGGGAUAAUACCCCGUGCAACUGACCAGUACCCGCAGAAUCAGCACCGAAGCUAACUACGUGCCAGCAGCCGCAGUAAUACGUAAGUGCAAGCGUUGAAGUCGAUUACUGGGCGUAAAGCGUGCGCAGGCGGUUCCGGAAAGGAAGAUGUGAAAUCCCAGAGCUUAACUUUGGAACUGCAUUUUUAACUACCGAGCUAGAGUGUGUCAGAGGGAGGUGGAAUUCCCGCGUGUAGCAGUGAAAUGCGUAGAUAUGCGGAGGAACACCGAUGGCAGGGGCAGCCUCCUGGGAUAACACUGACGCUCAUGCACGGAAAAGCGUGGGAGCAAACAGGAUUAGAUGCCCUGGUAGUCCACGCCCUAAACGAUGUCCAACUAGCUGUUGGGGCCUUCGGGCCUUGGUAGCGCAACUAACGCGUGAAGUUGACCGCCUGGGGAGUACGGUCGCAAGAUUAAAACUCAAAGGAAUUGACGGGGACCCGCACAAGCGGUGGAUGAUGUGGAUUAAUUCGAUGCAACGCGAAAAACCUUACCUACCCUUGACAUGUCUGGAAUCCCGAAAGAGGUUGCAGGAGUGCUCGCAAAGAGAACCGGAACACAGGUGCUGCAUGGCUGUCGUCAGCUCGUGUCGUGAGAUGUUGGGUUAAGUCCCGCAACGAGCGCAACCCUUGUCAUUAGUUGCUACGAAAGGGCACUCGUAAUGAGACUGCCGGUGACAAACCGGAGGAGAGGUGUGGAUGACGUCAAGUCCUCAUGGCCUUAUGGGUAGGGCUUCACGUCAUACAAUGGUCGGGACAGAGGGUCGCCAACCCGCGAGGGGGAGCCAAUCCCAGAAACCCGAUCGUAGUCCGGAUCGCAGUCUGCAACUCGACUGCGUGAAGUCGGAAUCGCUAGUAAUCGCGGAUCAGCAUGUCGCGGUGAAUACGUUCCCGGGUCUUGUACACCGCCCGUCACCAUGGGAGUGGGUUUUGCAGAAGUAGUUAGCCUAACCGUAAGGAGGGCGAUUACCGGUAGGAUUCAUGACUGGGGUGAAGUCGUAACAAGGUAU
rnacentral:rRNA from 1 species